CAAGAUUUUUCCAGAACUAAAUGCUUUUAAUAAGUAAAAAUAAACUUUUUCAAAAGCCCUGUUACUUCAAAAAGGAUUAUUUGCAUCAAUCAUAUAAAGUUACUGACAGAAUUUACUAAGUUUGAUAGAAGCUCUAGCACAACCUAUAGCUGUGGCCAAGAUGGAAACAAUGCUUGGCAAAUCAUAUGUUGUUUUUAAUGACUCAAAUGAUACUGUAAAAAUGAAACCUUUGCAUAUCAAGAAACUAAAAGCCUUUCUAAUUUGUUCUACAAGUGGAUGCAGAAAUAUAAGUGCUUAUUUGAUUACAGGUGCUGAAAAUGAUGCUACAAAAGAUUUAUUUGUUCCUUUGCAGGUCUUUUUCUAAACCACAAGAGAAAUUUCCAAGGUAUUUUGUUUUAAGGAAAAGCUUGUAAUGCAUAAGAAUUCAAACGAUAUUAUACAAUUCAGGGUGUAACGAGGGUCUAUGAAUAUUAUUUUUAAAAUAUAGCUUGUAAUUAGCCUCUACUGAACUCUAGUUUCCCCAAGAAAACAUCUAAAAAAUCUAAGUAGUCAGGCUAACUCAAGGGAUGUCCCCCUUUUUUUGCAUUUCAAAACUGUGAAACAAAGUUGAUAUUCGGGCGUCUCAUCAGGGCUGCCUUCAUUGUAUACAACAUCUCACUUUUACUUGACAGCUUGCAUAUGUUUGGAAUUGACGGAGUUAAUGAGCUUGCAUCUGCAUUCGUCACUGUUUUUUAAUUUCCUCCUCCUACUCCAAGCAUGUGUCUCAUCCCAGCGGUAACUUUUAUCAUGGUAUUUAUCAUGGAAAUGAAAUCAAGUCAGAAGAGACAUCAGAGGUCGAGUUCAACCCCUUCACUUUAUUGCUAAGAAAAUGGAAGCCCAGAGAAGCAACAAUUGAGUUCUCACCCCCAAAUUUAAGGCUCCCCACUGUACCACACACUCUUCACUCUAUCAACUCAUACAAGAGUAUCUGGGAUACAAUGUAAAAGUACUAUAAGAUAUUGGGGUGCUGGAGAGAGUGAACCUUCUGUGCAAUUCUGAUGUUACUUGCUUCAGACAAUAAAAUCUAUUAAGAAAUAAGGAUAGAGCAUGUUUCAACUUGGUCCACAAACACCAAUUGUUACUAUAUUAUAAAAUUUAACAUUUUUCUUAAAUAUAUUAUGUAACACAAGUUCAGCUUCUUAAACAAUUUCCUUCCAAUUCUUUCUAUAUCGAAAUAUUUGCUGGUGACUGUUACAAGUCACAAUAAAGAUUUUAAAAUAAUGAUCUUUAUUUCUCAUAGCAAAGUACUUCAAAGAAUAAGCUGAAAGUUUAGAAUUUUUUUACUAGUCAAGUUGAAAAUUUUAUUUUUAAAAAUUUUCUUCUCUCAGGAUUGUUUUGUUUACAAGAGCAAACUACUCAAAUUCAUACUUAUUUUAAGUUAAAGUUUUGGAUGAAAAAUUUACAAAUAUAUGUUUCUCAACUAACUGCCGUGCAAAAAUCAAGUUUGGAAACUCGCAUCAAAAGAGAAAUGAAUUAAAAAACAAUUUUCCUUCAACUUCAUGUUCCCACCUCAAACAGCAACCAUCCCAAGAGAAACACUAACCUAAAUUCCCAAAACCCUUUGCCAAUUUUUUUUUUGCUGAGGCAAUUGGGGUUAAGUGACUUGCCCAGGGUCACACAGCCAGGAAGUAUUGUCUUGAAGCCACAUUUGAACUCAGAUUCUCCUGACUUCAGGACUGAUAUUGUAUCCACUGCAUCAACUAGCUGCCCCUCCUUUGUCAAUUUUUAAAAUUAUGAGACUUUAUUGCUGAGUUAAGAUGAUGAGAGUUCAAUUGGGUAGGCUUAUUAGCUACUACUUAAUAUCAACAUUUCCUUAUUCAUUCAAAUCUUACAAAAAGG
ensembl:lncRNA